rnacentral:tRNA from 1 species
UGCGAAAUGGAGCAAUUGGUAGCUCGCAAGGGUCAUAGCCUUGAGGUUGCAAGUUCGAGCCUUGCUUUCGCCACAA